rnacentral:RNase_P_RNA from 2 species
CGGAGCGGGCGCACGAUCGCUCCGGUUUUUACCGGAGAGGAAAGUCCGAACUCUGCAGGGCAGGGUGGUUCGUAACACGAACGCCGGGCGACCGGGGGAAAGUGCCACAGAAAACAAACCGCCUGAUUCGAUCAGGUAAGGGUGAAACGGCGAGGUAAGAGCUCACCGCUUCCAUGGUGACAUGGAAGGCACGGCAAACCCCACCCAGAGCAAGACCAAAUAGGGAGAUGUUUGAGGGCGGCCCGUCCGAGAUCUCCGGGUAGGUUGCAAGAGGUGUUGAGCGAUCAACAUCCCAGUUAAAUGAUCGUGGCCCCUUAGGGGGUACAGAAUUCGGCUUAUAGCCCGCUCCAAUUU